UACAGAGGGGGCGAGCGUUGUUCGGAAUUACUGGGCGUAAAGGGCGCGUAGGCGGUGUGUCAAGUCAGGCGUGAAAGCCCCGGGCUCAACCUGGGAACCGCGCUUGAGACUGGCACGCUAGAGUUCGGGAGAGGAUGGUGGAAUUCCCAGUGUAGAGGUGAAAUUCGUAGAUAUUGGGAAGAACACCGAUGGCGAAGGCAGCCAUCUGGACCGACACUGACGCUGAGGCGCGAAAGCGUGGGGAGCAAACAGG
rnacentral:rRNA from 1 species